AGGUUCGCAGAGCUAGAGUGCAAGGCCAGACCUGGUACCAACAGCAUCUCCGCCUUCGUCCUCAUCUGGUUCCCGCCUCAAACCUGUACCUGUGCGGAGGAGCCUGGAAGAAGAACUAAAACUAUAGUUCCAGCUACUUCAGAGGCUAAGGUGGGAAGAUGGCUUGAAUCCAGGAGGUCGAGGCUGCAGUGAGCUGUGAUCUCACCACUGCACUGAUCUCACCACUGCACUCCAGCCUGGGCAACAAAGCAAAACCCUGUCUCAAAAAAUAAAGUAAAAUGAAAGAAUUCAAAAUAAUUAUGCAGCAAAAUGUUUACUGUAUUUCUAUAAAUUCAAAUAAAAC
rnacentral:lncRNA from 1 species